CGAAUUCCCCUAAGAUCACUGAAGUUAAGCAACGUUGAGCGUGGUCAGUACCUAGAUAGGUGACCGCCUGGGAAUACCAGGCACUGUAAG